rnacentral:rRNA from 1 species
CCUACGGGUGGCAGCAGUGGGGGAUAUUGCACAAUGGGGGGAACCCUGAUGCAGCGACGCCGCGUGGGUGAAGAAGUGCCUCUGCGCGUAAAGUCCUGUCAGCAGGGAAGAAAAUGACGGUACCUGAAGAAGAAGCCCCGGCUAACUACGUGCCAGCAGCCGCGGUAAUACGGAGGGGGCCAGCGUGAUCCGGAUUUACUGGGUGUAAAGGGGGCGCAGACGGCGAGGCAAGCCAGGAGUGAAAGCCCGGGGCCCAACCCCGGGACUGCGUUUGAAACUGCGUGGCUGGAGUGGAGGAGGGGUAGGCGGAAUUCCUGGUGUAGCGGUGAAAUGCGUAGAUAUCAGGAGGAACACCGGUGGCGAAGGCGGCCUGCUGGAC